UUAGAGUUUGAUCCUGGCUCAGGAUGAACGUUGGCGGCGUGCCUGAGAUAUGCAAGUCGAGCGACCCCUCCGAUUCGGAGGGGAGCGGCGAACGGCUGAGUAACACGUAGGAACCUGCCCCUAAGUCAAGGAUAGUCCGUCGAAAGGCGGAGUAAUACUCGAUGGUCCCCUCCGUUUCGGAAGGGUAAAGGAUCUAACCGUCCGCUUAGGGAGGGGCCUGCGGCCUAUCAGGUAGUUGGUAGGGUAACGGCCUACCAAGCCGAUGACGGGUAGCUGGCCUUAUGAGGGUGGUCAGCCAGAGGGGGACUGAGACACGGCCCCCACUCCUACGGGAGGCAGCAAUCAGGAAUCGUCGGCAAUGGGCGAAAGCCUGACCGCGCGACGCCGCGUGCGGGAAGAAGCUCUUCGGAGUGUAAACCGCUGUGGUAGGGGAGGAAACCCUCCAAAUCGGAGGGUUGACAGUACCCUACUAGAAAGGGGCCGCUAACUGCGUGCCAGAAGCGUCGGUAAUACGUGAGCCCCAAACGUUAUCCGGUGUCACUGGGCGUAAAGGGUCGUGUAGGCGUCCCGUCAAGUUUUACCUCAAGACUAUGGCUCAACCAUAGGAAGGGGUAAAAAACUGACGGGAUAGAAUUCCCUCAAGGGGGACGGGAACUUGCGGAGGAGCAGUGAAAUGCGUUGAUACCGCAGGAM
rnacentral:rRNA from 1 species